AGCGAACGCUGGCGGCAGGCUUAACACAUGCAAGUCGAACGCCCCGCAAGGGGAGUGGCAGACGGGUGAGUAACACGUGGGAACGUACCCUUUGGUUCGGAAUAACUUGGGGAAACUCAAGCUAAUACCGGAUAAGCCCUUAUGGGGAAAGGUUUACUGCCGAAGGAUCGGCCCGCGUCUGAUUAGCUAGUUGGUGAGGUAAUGGCUCACCAAGGCGACGAUCAGUAGCUGGUCUGAGAGGAUGAUCAGCCACACUGGGACUGAGAUACGGCCCAGACUCCUACGGGAGGCAGCAGUGGGGAAUAUUGGACAAUGGGGGCAACCCCGAUCCAGCCAUGCCGCGUGAGUGAUGAAGGCCUUAGGGUUGUAAAGCUCUUUUACCCGGGACGAUAAUGACUGUACCGGGAGAAUAAGCCCCGGCUAACUUCGUGCCAGCCGCCGCGGUAA
rnacentral:rRNA from 1 species